rnacentral:misc_RNA from 1 species
AACGCACCUUGCGCCCCUUGGCCAUUCCGAGGGGCAUGCCUGUUUGAGUAUCAUGAACACCUCAACUCUCAUGGUUUGCCAUGAUGAGAUUGGACUUUGGGGGUUUUGCUGGCCAUGCGGUUGGCUCCUCUCAAAUGAAUUAGCUUGCCAGUGUUUGGUGGCGUCACAGGUGUGAUAACUGUCUGCGCUUGUGGCUGUCUGCCAGGUGACCUUCAGUGAUGAAGGCUUGCUGGAGCUUCCAAACGUCUCUCCUGAGUGAAGACAGCUUUUUGAUCGUUCGAUCUCAAAUCAGGUAGGACUACCCGCUGAACUUAA